CCACCUUGAGAGUUGCCGGGAACAAUAGUGAAAAGGAGGCUACAUGGUUUGUUUGCAGAUGGUGAAUGGAUGGGUGUUUUGAGGAAGACAGUGGGGUUUGUUUUUGUGGGCUUUGUUGGCUGCUGGGUCUGGUAUGGUCAGGAAAACUUUGGAUACGGGAUGGUGCUGGUUUUUAUUUCCAGAAUUCUUGAUGUUCUUGGCCGUCUCUCCCGGUUUCUCCAUUAAUGAAUGCCUUCUUCUAGCCACUAUUUAUAGGAGAGAAUUUCAUCUUCAAUCUUCCUCUCCAUGAUAGCUAUCAAUCUUAAAUGAUUUCAGCCUUUGAAAGAGAGGAUUUCAUCUUGAAUCUUCCUCCAUAAUAGCUGCCAAUCUUUCAUGAUUUCCAGCCUUUCUAGAGCAGAUGAACCCGGGCUGAAAAUUG
rnacentral:lncRNA from 1 species